rnacentral:rRNA from 1 species
UACGUAGGUGGCUAGCGUUGUCCGGAUUUACUGGGCGUAAAGCGCACGUAGGCGGCUUUGCAAGUUAGAGGUGAAAGCCCGGGGCUCAACUCCGGAAUUGCCUUUAAAACUGCAUCGCUAGAAUUGUGGAGAGGUAAGUGGAAUUCCGAGUGUAGAGGUGAAAUUCGUAGAUAUUCGGAAGAACACCAGUGGCGAAGGCGACUUACUGGACACAUAUUGACGCUGAGGUGCGAAAGCGUGGGGAGCAAACAGG